rfam:Pan troglodytes isolate Yerkes chimp pedigree #C0471 (Clint) chromosome 18, whole genome shotgun sequence.
GCUGGGUGUGGUGGUGCAUGCCUGUGAUCCCAGCUACUGAGGAGGCUGAGGCAGGAGGAUCACUUGAGUCCAGGAGGUCAAGGCUGCAGUGAGCAGUGAUUGUGCCACUGCAUUCCGACCUGGGCCACAGAGCGAGACCCUGUCUCAG